UUUUGAUCUAAAGAAAACGAGAUGAUUCUUUGAGGUGAACUAUAUCGUUCAAUGCUUGAUCUUGAUUCUGCUGCGUUUGAUUUUGUUGCUGCUUUUAUUCAUGAUUCAUGAACUUGCUGUUCAAAGGAAAAGAUUGAGGAAUUUGCGGAGUUUUUGCACCCGGAGAAGAAGGAAUCUGAUUUGUUUUUUAAAGUUUCUGAAAUAACUUUCUAUAUUGCGCCUAAGUACGUUUUGAUCUAAAGAAAGCGAGAUGAUUCUUUGAGGUGAACUAUAUCGUUCAAUGCUUGAUCUUGAUUCUGCUGUGUUUGAUUUUGUUGCUGCUUUUAUUCAUGAUUCAUGAACUUUACUUGUUUUUAAAAAAUUUAAAAUAAUUAAUUGUUAUACAAUUAUUCAAUUUAAAAAAUUACGUUCAAUUUUUUUUUAAAAAAAAAUAGACAUGCUAUAAAUUUUUCCAACUAAUUUUUUAACAUUAAUUUCAGGCCCGGUUCGAACUCGAAUCGAGUUCUAACGGUCUAAUCCAAUUCCUAGUCCGAGUCGAGUUCUAACGGUCUUAUCCAAUUCCUCGUCCGAGUAGGAGACCACUAUGUAACCGUUACACUGAAACAGAAUCCUAAUCCGACUCGGAUUACCCAACGGCGCGAAAAAAACUAGCCGUUGCGCCUUCGCCCUUCUCCCUAUAAAUAAGAGCCCUCACUCCAAAUCGCGCACACUCCGCUGCCCAUUUACCUCGAGGACGAAGAGGGAAAGGGUUCCCUCAUGGGUUCUUCGUCUCCUUCUCCCCGAUAAGGUUUGCUUCUUCUUCUCCUCCUCCUUCUUUCUCCCUUUUGAUUUUUCUAGGUUUCUUUGUUUUCGUAUUGUUGGUUUCUUUUGCGAUCUAAUUCGUUUUAGGGCGCAUAGGUUUUUUAUUUUGAUCUGUUUUCCCUUUUCUUCGUGGAUUUUGGAUUAGAGUAUGGGAUUUUAUGCUGGUUUCUUAUUUCUAUGAGCAUGAAAGAUUGGAUUCUGUCACAAAUUCGGUUUCAUGAAACAAAUUAGAACCGGCUUCAAUUUUUAAAUUAGUUUUCCAUUAUUUUAUGUAUAUCUUGGGCCAAAUCUAGGGUUAAAUUUGAAGCAAAUUUGUCUAUUUUUCAGGCGCAGGAUUUAUGUGUUGGUUAUCUAUACUGAAUAUUCCUUUUUGAAAGGAUACUGUAUAUCCCUUUAAAACUAGUUUUCCAUCAUUUAUGUGAAUCUUGUUAAAUUUGGUAGCCUAGUUUUAAUUCUUCGAAUACAAUACUUAGAAUCACUUAGGAAAGUUGGUUUCUCAAUGUUAAAUUGUGAACACCAUCAUCCGAGAUAUGUGCAUCAGGUGUUUGUUCCUUGAUAUGUUUGAUGACUUCUCUCAUCAUGUUGUGAUAUGAAAUAUUAUUUUUCAUCUAAGUAACAAUAAUCUAAUAACAAUGUUCUCCAAUUUUGGAAAUAAUUCUUUUUUUUUCCUCUUAUUUUCGUGUCGUUAUUCUGCAUUCUUGUGUGAGUAAAGGAUCUUUUGGAUCUGAUUGCGAGGUGAUGGGUUCAUCCAAGAUCAAUCGCCCAGUGAUUUCGAAAGAGGUAUUCCAGAGGCUUCUUGCGAAUACCCUUCUCUGAAGAAUGGAUCUUUAAUGGGAUCCGGCUCCAAAAGUGCUUGUUCCUUCAAUCAAACAAAUCGGUGAGGCAGAUGAGGUACAGGGGACUCUUGUUAGUUGUUUAGUCAAAAAAUAUGUUUAGAUUGAUGUGACGAAUUUGAUCAAUAUUUGAACUUCUUGUGAUAUAUUUGUUUUAAAUCCCUUCUCUUCCUUAGUAUACAGCUGAGAUUUUUGAGAAGACUUGAUCAGUAUCAAUUAAGCAUGGUACAUUCAAUAGGAAAUUCUUGUUGGCUUCAUGUAGAACUACUGGAUUAUUGCACUGAUGGGUCUUUUUCUUGUGAAUUAUUAUUACAGAGCUCUACGACCAAGAAAACAAGUGCCGAAACAUGUGACCAAGAAAGCAAGUGCCAAAGUGUACGACCAAGAAAGCAAAUGCCAGUCUUUUUCUUCAUUUUAACUGCAAUAUAUGAUAAGUAAUCCAUCACUUUUCUUCUAUAUUUUCUACAUUCUCUGGUGUUAUUAGUUUCCUUAAUUCAUCUUUCUCUUUCAGCUUUAUACUUGAAUUCUCAGGAGGUUCCACGACUCUGGUGUAAAGGUCAGCUACAUUUGCAAUGAUUUAUACUGGGCAAAGUGGAUAGCAAAAGUGGAAAAGUAAGAGUAACAUUUCAUUCUUAAUUAUCAUAAUAUUUAACUCGUUGCUGGUUCUCUAACAUUCUUCCAUCUCGAUUUUUCUUUUUCUAAGGAAUCACAGGAAACUAAUGUCAUUUUAAAAUUCAUAAGGCGUUAAAGGUUCACUUAAUGAUCUCAUUAUCUUUCAACUAGCAUUUGUCGAACUGGACUUGAAGGUUGAUUUUUAUUGUAUUUUCUAUCCUUUGGAGACUACAAGAAUUUAUAUUUUAUCUUUUCCACCUUUUAUGUGAUCCAUGAAUUUCAUUUUAAUUACCUUUAUGCUCCUUUGCAGUUUGUAGUUUCAUGUAUUUUGGUCAAAGAGAUGCAGCAAUUAUGCCGUAAGUUAGCUGUGUUCUAAAUGGUCCCAACCAUGCAGGGAGGAGCUAUAAGGUACUGAUAUAAUGGACUGGUAAGUUACACUACUUAUCGACAUCUGAAGUUCUCUCUAAUUAAUGACUAAUUCCAAUGUUUUGUUUCACUCUUUAGUUGAAAGAAUUUUGUCUUCUGAACAGGUAUGUAUGUUUCCUAUUAGUUAUAGCUCCUUUUAUCUUACAGCCUGCAAGAUCUUCCUGUCAGGGUAGGAUUAAAUAUGUCUUCGCGUGAGAUAUACGGCACAUUAGAAUUACUUGAAACUUCAUCUUUAUAAACAAUUUCUCAUGGCCUACAACUCAAGUCUCAGGUUCCCAAAACGUUGGUGGUUCGGUGCUCUUUCUCAUCUAUUUAAGCUUAUCUAAUAAUAUACCGCGAGAGGAGAAUACGUGAUUUUGAUCCAUGUUUAACAAUGAGGUACUUUUAACUCAGAUGUUCAUCUAAGAGACGUUAAUCUAUCGGCCAAGUUUUAAUUCUAAUGUAUAAACUUUUACUGUUUUUCCCUUGUAACAGGCAUAAUUCAAAACAAAUCUUCUUGACCAGUUUGAAAUGAAGUUUGAGACUGUUUUCAUUAAUUUAUGAACUUGUGCAUCGCAAGUCCCUUUUUUUUUUUUUUGGAAAGAUUUGAUUAACUGUUUCAUCUGGGCAUAAUCCAAAAAAAAUCUUCUUGUCCAGUAGAAAUGGGAUUCGAACCUGCUUUUGCAAGAAUUCAAAGAAAGAACUUUUGCAUUUAAGGAGAAAUUUGAACUCGUUCAUGCAAUAUAUAAUCUCUGGUAUGAUUCCUCAACUGUAUAUAUUUUCUUUCCGAAACUGUAUUAUAUCACUAAUCUGUACUAUAUUACUAGCUUAAAAAAAAUAGAGCUUCAUAUGUUGCAUUUAUUAUCUAUUUAAUUAAUUGGUCAUUUGUUGGGACAGGUUGGACUCGGCUAGUCCUCUAACAUUCUUCCAUCCCGAUUUUUCUCACUAAAGGAAUCACAGGAAACUAAAUCCGUUUAAAAUUCAUAAGGCGUGUUAAUGGUUCACUGGCUGAUCUCAUUAUCUUUCACCUAGCAUUUGUCGAACUAGGCUCGAAGGUUGUUUUUUAUUUUAUUUUCUAUCCUUUGGAGACCACAAGAAUUUAUAUUUUAUAUUUUCUACCUUUUUAUGUAUUCCAUGAAUUUCAUUUUAAUUACCUUUCUUCUCCUUUGCAGUUGUAGUUUCACAUAUUUUGGCCAAAGAUAUAGCAAUUAAGCUGUAAGUUAGCUGUGUUCUAAAUGGUCUCAACCAUGCAGGAAGGAGUUAUAGGGUACCGAUAUAAUGGACUUGUAAGUUACACUAUUUAUCAACAUGUGAAGUUCUCUCUAAUUAAUGUUCUCUCUAAUUAAUGACUAAUUCCAGUGUUUUGUUUCAUUCUUGUGAAUAGUUGAAAGGACUUUUUCUUCUGAACAGGUAAAUGUAUGUUUCCUAUAUUUAUAGCUCCUUUAUUUACAGCCUACAAGAUCUUAUUGUCAGGGUAGGAUAAAAUAUGUCUUGGCAUAUACAGCGUAUUAGAAAUACUUGGACCUCUAUCUUUAUAAACAAUUUCUCAUGGCCUACAACUCAGAAAUUUGAUUAGGCGAUGCCUAGAAUUCAGGUUAUUCCGCUUCUCCUAAUUCUUCUGGUCAAAUUGUUUGUGACCUUUUUCCUCAAAAGCACUAGGAUCUCCUACCCUCGUUUUAAGAAAAUGCAAUGCAUAAUGUAUAUAUUCAGUAUAAUAUGUUACACCUGAUAUGCAAACUGAUCACCUCAUUGCAGGAUUAAGGAGCAUAAUGUUAUAAUACUUGCUUUCAUUUCCUUUCUUUCUUCAUGAGCCAAAGAGUUUUCUGUUUGUGCGUUUAACAGUAUUUCUAAUCAUUCACUGCACUGUUUCAUUAGAAACUUUAGAAUAGAAGUUUGAGAUGGGCAGAUCUGCAUGUGUAAGCAGGUGCGUAUAUUUAAUGGGCGUUUUAACCCUCUUUGCAAGGAGUUAACAUGAAGACACUAUGGUCUAUCAGCUGAUUUUACUAGAUAGUCUAAUAACAAUCUGUCUUGGUUUCUAUGCUUAAUACUUAUCGUCCAUAUAUCUUAUUUGCAGUUAAUCUAAAGUCAUCUUGUGCAAGCGAUUUACUUACUCAGUUUUUAUUUUAGAGAUGUUAACGCAACUUCUGCUAACUUGCGAUCUACUAGAGUAUCGAUUACUAAAUUUGUUAACGCACUUUUGAACUCUGUUUCAUCAUGAUGCAGUUUCCUGGUACAAUCUCCAAUUUCUGUCACUUGCAUAUUUGAUAUUUCUUUUGUGAGAAGCUCGUCUUAAAACAUGUUUUACUGUGCCAUUUUCUGUACAUGUUGGUAGAAUGAUAGGGCAUUUAAAUGUUGGUCACUAGUCGAACAAUACCCUCAAUGGAUAGAAAUUGCAACUGCUAUUACUACUAUUGGAAAUCUAUAUGAAUUGUAUGUAAAAUUUCUAUCUUAACAUACUGGCAUAGCCAUGCACAGCAAGGACAAAUACGCUUUUGGGGAUCAUUACAUUCUUUGAUUGUUAGAAUAAGAAGAUGAUAACUUGCUAGGGAGAAAGUAACUAACCAUAAAUAAACCCUAUAUUAGCAGCUGAUUAGUGCUGUUUAAUCCAUAUUUGUAUUUAAACUUCUUCUUCCUUCUAUAUUUGCAGCUGAGAACUUGCGAAAAGUUGAUCAGUGUGUAUCAAGUCAGUGUGUAAGAUUCGAACAAAUACAAAAUUCCUGUCGGGUAUGCGCUUUUCCUUUUUUGAAAGGUUGGGGGGGUUCCUCCAACACUAUAUUGGUUGAGUAUUACACUAAUGGAUAUACUUUUCUUGUCUCUUUUGGGCAAGCCCUGAUAGUUGCAUGGUGGCUGGACGAAGCGCCAAAACCUACAACCAAGUCGCAAGUGCUAGUCAUUUUUCCAGUUUAAAAGGCAUUAUGGGACAAUUAAAUGAGAUAUAAUGCUUCAUCUAAAGACUGCUCUCUGUUUAAUUGUUAUUUGCGAUUUCUUUCACUUUUGAUUGUUGUUGCGAUCAGAUUUUCAUAACUGGGUCUUAUUACUAAGGAGAUUAUUUUCGCAAGCAGAUUUCCUGAGUCUUAGGUUCCCAGAAUGUUGGUGGUUCGGUGUUCAUCUUCUGUUGGCCACAACAAGGUACCAGUGUGCACCAAUCAUUUAGUCGUUUAUUUAAGCUUAUCUAACCAUAUACCAAGAGAGGAUAAUAUGUGAUUCUGAUCCAUGUUUAACAAUGAGGUAUUUUUGACUCAGAUGUUCAUCUGAGAGACGUUAAUCAAUCGGCUAAUAUAUAAACUUUUUACUUUUUUUCUCAAAGCAUAAUUAAAAACGAAUCUUCUUGUCCAGUUUAAAUGAAGUUUGAGCCUGUUUUUACUAAUUUAUGAACCUUGUGCACUGCAAGUCUUUAAAAAACUUUUUUUUGAAAGGUUUGAUUAACUGUUUUAUCUGAGAACGGCGUAAUCCAAAACAAAUCUUCUUUCUAGCUGAAAUGGAAUUCAAACCUUUCUAGCUGAAAUGGAAUUCAAACCUGCUUUUGCAAGCAUACAAAGAAAGAACUUUUGCAUUUAAGGAGAAAGUUGAACUUGUUCAUCUAAAAAUUUUAUCUCUGGUAUGAUUCCUUAACUGUAUAUAUAUAUAUUCCUGAACCUGUAUUAUACCACUGAGCUUGUACUAUAUUACUAGCUUAAAAAAAAAAAAAAUAGAGCUUCAUAUGUUGCAGUUGUUAUCUAUUUAAUUAAUUGGUCAUUUAUUGAAACAGGAUGACUCGGCCGAUUGCGCUAGAACAUAACGGAAGGCUUUUAGAUUUUGUCAUAAAGCUAGCUCUCAAACUCAUAAAGUAACUUAGGGGUGUGAAACAGCUAAACAGAGUAACCGGAUCUAAGGUCUAGGUCCGGUUUAGAUUUUCUUUAUCAUUUUGAGAAAAAAAAGCGGUUUGGUUUGGGUCAAUAUGGUAGGAACCGCAUAAUUUUGAUUCAGGUUUUGGUUCUGAUCAUGAGAAUCGGCUUAAACCAGACCAACCGGUUAGUGUUUCAUAUAUUUUAAACUGAACGGUUUGUUCUACUUAAUUAGCCCAUUACACGUAACGUUGGAAAGCUAACCUGCGCAUUAUUAAGUGAUGAAGCGCAGGAUAAGCAUGAAGGCAACGGACGAGGGCUAUAUAAUGGUUUCGCGGCCCUUCCGCACGCAAUUCCAAUACAAAUCGGGAACAGUCGCUCUUCUUCCUCUCUCCUCCUCCUUGAUCCCGCCUCGUCGACGACUCCGAAACCUACGAAGCCGAAGCGCGAACGACUCCGAAACCUACGAAGCCGAAGCGCUAUUCCAAUACAAAUCGGGAACAGUCGCUCUUCUUCCGCUCUCCUCCUUCUUGCUCCCGCCUCGUCGACGACUCCGAAAACUACGAAGCCGAAGCGCGAACGAAACCCUAAGGUACUAGCUCGAUUUCUCUUAAUCUUCGAAAGGAGCCUAUCUCUUUUCCGUCCUAAAAAUUUGAUCUCUCUUUUUCUCCCUCCAGUGUGAUGAAGGAUCGGAUCCCUCUUCCACUCCCUCCAUCGAAUCCUCAAUUUGAGCGGACAUUGAUCUCGAUCUCGAUCUCGAACUCUCUUGUCGAUUUGAGAUCGAAGGAUCCCUGAUCAAUUAAAGUCUAUGUACGUGAUCUAAAGGAAGCGAGAUGAUUCUUUGAGGUGAACUAUAUCGUUCAAUACUUGAUCUUGAUUCUGCUGCGUUUGAUUUUGUUGCUGCUUUUGUUCAUGAUUCAUGAACUUGCUGUUUGAAGGAAAAGAUUGAGGAAUUUGCGGAGUUUUGCACCUGGAGAAGAAUGAAUCUGAUUUGUUUUUUUUAAAUUUCGAAAUAACUUUCUAUAUUGCGCCUAAGUACGUUUUGAUCUAAAGAAAGCGAGAUGAUUCUUUGAGGUGAACAAUAUCGUUCAAUGCUUGAUCUUGAUUCUGCUGCGUUUGAUUUUGUUGCUGCUUUUAUUCAUGAUUCAUGAACCUGCUGUUUGAAGGAAAAGAUUGAGGAAUUUGCGGAGUUUUGCACCUGGAGAAGAAAGAAUCUGAUUUUUUAUAAAAAAUUUCGAAAAAACUUUCUAUAUUGCGCCUAAGUACGUUUUGAUCUAAAGAAAGUGAGAUGAUUCUUUGAGGUGAACUAUAUCGUUCAAUGCUUGAUCUUGAUUCUGUUGCGUUUGAUUUUGUUGCUGCUUUUAUUCAUGAUUCAUGAACUUGCUGUUUGAAGGAAAAGAUUGAGGAAUUUGCGGAGUUUUGCACCUGGUGAAGAAGGAAUCUGAUUUUUUUUUUUUAAUUUCGAAAUAACUUUCUAUAUUGCGCCUAAGUUUACUUUCUAGUACUAUUUCACAGUUCCAGCUGAAUUUACUUGCAGGUAGC
rnacentral:lncRNA from 1 species